UACGUAGGGUGCGAGCGUUAAUCGGAAUUACUGGGCGUGAAGCGUGCGCAGGCGGUUCGUUAAGUUCGAUGUGAAAGCCCCGGGCUCAACCUGGGAACUGCAUUGGAAACUGGCGAGCUUGAGUAUGGCAGAGGGGGGUGGAAUUCCGCGUGUAGCAGUGAAAUGCGUAGAGAUGCGGAGGAACACCUGCGGUGUAGACGGCUUACUGGACCAUAACUGACGCUGAGGCACGAAAGCGUGGGUAGCAAACAGG
rnacentral:rRNA from 1 species